rnacentral:rRNA from 1 species
GUGGGGAAUAUUGGACAAUGGGCGCAAGCCUGAUCCAGCAAUACCGCGUGUGUGAAGAAGGCCUGAGGGUUGUAAAGCACUUUCAAUAGGGAGGAAUAGCUAUCGGCUAAUACCCGGUAGUCUGACAUUACCUAUACAAGAAGCACCGGCUAACUCCGUGCCAGCAGCCGCGGUAAUACGGAGGGUGCAAGCGUUAAUCGGAAUUACUGGGCGUAAAGCGUGCGUAGGCGGUUAUUUAAGUCAGAUGUGAAAGCCCCGGGCUUAACCUGGGAACUGCAUUUGAUACUGGGUGACUAGAGUUGAGUAGAGGAGAGGGGAAUUUCAGGUGUAGCGGUGAAAUGCGUAGAGAUCUGAAGGAACACCAGUGGCGAAGGCGCCUCUCUGGACUCAAACUGACGCUGAGGUACGAAAGCGUGGGUAGCAAACAGGAUUAGAAACCCCAGUAGUCC